rnacentral:rRNA from 1 species
CUACGGGUCGCAGCAGGCGAGAAAACUUUGCAAUGUGCGAAAGCACGACAAGGUUAAUCCGAGUGGUUUGUGCUAAACGAACCUUUUGACAGUCCUAGAAACACUGUUGAAUAAGGGGUGGGCAAGUUCUGGUGUCGAGCCGCCGCGGUAAAACCAGCACCUCAAGUGGUCAGGAUGAUUAUUGGGCCUAAAGCAUCCGUAGCCGGCUCUGUAAGUUUUCGGUUAAAUCUGUACGCUCAACGUACAGGCUGCCGGGAAUACUGCAGAGCUAGGGAGUGGGAGAGGUAGACGGUACUCGGUAGGAAGGGGUAAGAUCCUUUGAUCUAUUGAUGACCACCUGUGGCGAAGGCGGUCUACCAGAACACGUCCGACGGUGAGGGAUGAAAGCUGGGGGAGCAAACCGGAUUAGAUACCCCGGUAGUC